UCGUAACAAGGAUUCCGUAGGUGAACCUGCGGAAGGAUCAUU
rnacentral:rRNA from 2 species